UAGCUCUCCCCUGCUCCCGUCUGCAGAUGGUAAAGGGCUACUUGUAUGGUGAAAAGGUGGUGGGAGAACAACCUGUAAAUAAACUGCACCAGUGGUUACUGAACCCAGGGUCUCCAUGUAACUUUAUCAGCUCAACAGGGGCAGGAGCCAAGAGGGCCCUGAAGCACCUUGUUAGAUGUGGGGGCUUGUCAGGGAUAUCUUUGCCCGAGCAAGAGUUUGGCAGCCUAGAGAUGGAGGAGAUCCUGCAGUGGUUGGUAAAGCAGCAAGAAGAGGUGCAAAAGGCUAUGCAAUCCUUUUAGUAGUCCCACCAGCUGGAGAGGCAAGCCUUGCUCAACUGGCAAGCCAAGCAGUAGAAGAGCCUUCAGGACUUUAUACGCGAGCAGGCCAGCAUACAACAGCAGCUUCUCCAGAAGAUGCAGUAUUACUUAUUGAAGAGGAAGCCGCCAGGGCAGGGGACUGGACUCGAUGACCUCUCGAGGUCCCUUCCAGUCCUAGAAUCUAUGAAUCAUGAAAAUUGGACAAUGCAAAUGGAACCUAAAGAAUAUGCUUUGCCAGUUAACAGUAAAAUUAGGAAACAGUGAACCUGCUGAAGGGGAAAAUUAUAUAAAUGCGCACACAUGCUAAUGGAGCUCCAAGCAGAUUUUAAUGCUCUGAGGAAGUCACUGAAGAGUCUAGAGCAAAAUUACCUUCAGCACCCAGCAAGGGGGUAGUAAAGUGUGAGGCAUCUUCACCUGCCUCCUCAGCAGCAGCUGCUACCAUUCCAGGAACCCUACAGUGGAGAGAAGAGAUGAUGUUUUUUGGUUUUUUUUCCAGGCUGUUUUCUUAAGUUUAUUUUUGUUCACCCAUGGGUCUCUCAGCAACUAAAAAAAAGAAAUCGCUGUCCCCUGAAUUCAGCGCUGUUCCUCAGUACAUCUGAACCAUCCCAGAGGAGCUCACAGAUUUCCAGGAAAUGUGCUAAAUUUCACAAAUAGGAUUUUCUUCUGCAUUCUGAAUUGAUUCACUAUUGUACUGUUACACAUCAGUUAACCCCAGCAGCACUGGCAUUCCAGCCUAUGCCACCACAUAAGGGGGAACGUCACUAAAAUAAUCCCUCUAAGACAAACAGAAAUAGAGAUGGAAGUGGGGGCAAGGAAUAUUCUAUCCACCUGUUGUUCUUGGUAGGCUGAGGCAAUCGAUCAAUAACUUGGCUGAGUGAACCAGUCGUGUCCAGAUGGGUAGAACUGUCCAUGGGCUCUGAAAACAUAAUAGGCCAUUAGAAUGGAAGAGAGGCAAACUUCUGACUAUAGGGACCAACACUGAGGAGUGAGGAAGUCAGCAGCGCUCUGACAACAACAGCUCACUGUCAUACUUGCUUAGCCCACUCACCCCUUCCAUGGUCACAUGCCUUGAUACUGAGCUCUUCACAAUGAUUCCCAAAGCCCUGGUACCAUCCUCUCCAAAGCCAGCAACCCCCAAAUGUCUCAUCAACACAAGUAUUGCUCUAAAACUCAUUAUCCUGCAACCAGAGAAUGUUAACUUCUCGGAGAUAAAUAAAAGGUAAAGUUACUUGUGCUCCCUCACCUGCGAGCGGCUUUUCCUCAAGGCCUCUGUCUUCUCCUCCUCCACCAGCAGCCAGUUUGCUACCCUGAGGGCUGGUCAUUAUCUCCUGUAAAACACAU